rnacentral:tRNA from 6 species
GGAGACGUGGGUGAGUGGCUGAAACCAACGCUUUGCUAAAGCGUCGUACGGGAAACUGUACCGAGGGUUCGAAUCCCUCCGUCUCCGCCA